CAUAAAAAUAAAUAAAUAGGGACCCAACAUGGCGGCCGGCAAGGAGGCAGCACUUUCAAUGCCUCCGCAGUAAUGGGAUCAGAGAGACCCAUUAAUACACCUACAUGCUACCUGCUGAGAAACUUCUAGCAAAAUUCCGCUGAAAGGAGACCUGCUGGGAAUUAGUAAGUUUAUUGGAGGUGUCAAUUUGUCCCAGAUGAGUGAAUCUCGGCAACACGGAGCAGGGGCACAGUCCCGCCGGCCGCGGUUGAACGGCUGCUGCCCACACGUUGCAGCGAACGUAAGAUCGGCCGCUGCCUGCCUGGGCCCCCGCCGGCCCGGCUCUGUGAACUGCCUGUGGUGGUUC
rnacentral:lncRNA from 1 species